rnacentral:misc_RNA from 1 species
GAUGAAGAACGUAGUGAAAUGCGAUAAGUAAUGUGAAUUGCAGAAUUCAGUGAAUCAUCGAAUCUUUGAACGCACAUUGCGCCCGUCAGUAUUCUGGCGGGCAUGCCUGUUCGAGCGUCAUUACGCCCCUCAAGUCCCCUGUGGACUUGGUGUUGGGGAUCGGCGAGGCUGAUUUUCCAGCACAGCCGUCCCUUAAAUUAAUUGGCGGUCUCGCCGUGGCCCUCCUCUGCGCAGUAGUAAAACACUCGCAACAGGAGCCCGGCGCGGUCCACUGCCGUAAAACCCCCCAACUUUUUAUAGUUGACCUCGAAUCAGGUAGGACUACCCGCUGAACUUAAGCAUAUCAAUAAGCGGAGGA